AAGGCGUGACCGAAUACGAAGAUGGCGGGGCCCCGGCGGGAGAUGGCGAGGCGGGCCCCCAACAGGCGGAGGACCACCCCCAGAAUCCUCCAGAAGAUCCCAAUCAGGACCCCCCAGAGGAUGAUAGCACCUGUCAGUGCCAGGCGUGCGGGCCUCACCAAGCCGCGGGUCCAGAUCUUGGUUCCUCUAAUGAUGGCUGCCCUCAGCUGUUCCAGGAGCGGUCAGUCAUAGUGGAGAACUCCUCAGGCUCUACCAGCGCUUCUGAGCUCCUCAAACCCAUGAAGAAGAGGAAGCGCAGGGAAUACCAGAGCCCAUCAGAGGAGGAGUCGGAGCCAGAGGCCAUGUGAUAGGGGGAUGUCUGCUGGAGCUGCACUCCUGCUGGCGGCCUAGAAGAAAUUCUGCCUGUUUGGGGCAGAACACCACAUGGCCAGAGAGCCAGGUAGGGGCCAGGAUCAGACCCUAGGGCUUCAUCCCAAACCAUGAGGAGAAGAAGCUGGGAUCAGGCUUGCCUUCUACAGGAGAAGCAAGAAGAAGGAAAGGACCCAGAGGGACAACCCACUGCUAGC
rnacentral:lncRNA from 1 species